UUUUUCUUUUUUUUUCUUUUUUUUUGAGGCAGAGUCUCGCUCUGUGGCAGGCUGGAGUGCAGUCGCGCGAUCUGGGCUCACUGCAAGCUCCGCCCCCGGGUUCACGCCAUUCUCCUGCCUCAGCCUCCCGAUUAGCUGGGACUACAGGCAUCCGCCACCACACCCGGCUCAUUUUUUGUAUUUUUUUUUUAGUAGAGAUGGGGUUUUACCGUGUUAGCCAGGAUGGUUAUUACUCUUAAUUUUUUUUUUUUUUUUGCAAUGGGAUAUUUUACAUCUCCACUACUGCCUUAGUCAGCUCAGGCUACCAUAAGAAAAUAUCAUAGACUGGUGGCUUAACCAACAGAAAUUUAUAUAUAUUCUCACAGUUAUUUCUCACACAUAAAAAACUAUCUUUUAGUGUUUUCACCUCCCUCCCCCAGCCACUGGAUUGGAAUUCCCUAAGGGCAUGGAUGUUUCUGAUUCAUCUUUGUAUUCCAGGCUUUAGCACAAGGCCUGAGGUGAAAUGGGGUUCUGUAACCAUUUGAUGAAGUGUAAUCAGAGCUAUUCAAGGGGGGGAAAGAAACUGCCUUGAGAUGAUUAAUUAUCUGAUACUUGAAAUCUCCCAACUGGCUGGUUGAAGGCCCCUUGGGGACAUUCCAGUGAGUGUCCAGCUAAUUGAACUGUUUUCUGACACAGUUUGAGUCUGGUUCUGGUAAUGUCUGUAACUCUUUUAUCAAUGUUAAUUUCCAUUCCCCAUUCAGAUCUGUGUAGCUCUGGACAUUGGCCAGAGGCAAGUGCUGGGCCUAUAUACCUCCUCCCACCUCUCUCCCAUGUUCCCUGAGAGGCAGGCAUCUAGCUUUCUAAUGGAUGUGGCUGCCUCCUUAUUGAAAUGAAGAAGGGACUCAGAAGAAACAGCACCUCUUGAUGGCUGAUACCCUAGGUCUCUGAGCUAAUGUGGACUAGAGGACACAUCCUGUUUAUUCUGAAGUUUUGAAGAGUCUGAGAUGCUAUCCUACUUGCCAAUCAGAGUCAGCCUGAAAAGGUUAUCUACAUAUGUACUAACAGAACACAGGAUCUCUAAUUCAGAGACCGACUGCAUCUUGCGUCAGUUCCCCAGGCCCAAAUUCCCCAUUAUGUCGGGGAGUGACACAGUGAAAGCCUCUGGGUGUAGAGAGGUUUACAAGAGAGGAACCCUAAUAUUAUGAAACUCAGAGCUUGUGCAGGAUAGGAGGCUGUCCCUCUUCCUUGAGUGGUAAGGGAGACAAACAGAGAGGGAGAGGGAGGGUGUGUGUGUGUGUGUGAGAGAGAGAGAGAGAGAGACAGAGAGAGAGAACAAGGAAAUAAGCAAAUGGUUGUGGGUUUUAUUACCUUUGAAAGGGAGCAGUUGGUUCUUGGGAAGUGCAUAGGAGAGGAAAUAUUUUGUAUCUUCCAAAUAUCAUUCAAAUAUCUUUUAAUCCAGAUGCCGAUAAUCUGCUCAGAAAGCCCUGACUGCACACUCAUUGUUUCUCC
rnacentral:lncRNA from 1 species